AGAUGGCGACCGGCGCACGGGUGAGUAACACGUAUCCAACCUGCCGAUAACUCGGGGAUAGCCUUUCGAAAGAAAGAUUAAUACCCGAUGGUAUAAUCUGACCGCAUGGUCUUGUUAUUAAAGAAUUUCGGUUAUCGAUGGGGAUGCGUUCCAUUAGGCAGUUGGUGAGGUAACGGCUCACCAAACCUUCGAUGGAUAGGGGUUCUGAGAGGAAGGUCCCCCACAUUGGAACUGAGACACGGUCCAA
rnacentral:rRNA from 1 species